CCCCUCCUAGACCUAUUGAAGAGCUGGCUACCAGUGAGGAAGGAUCUCUUCUGGAGAUCUGCUCUGUUGGAGUUUUGGGGGUGAGCCCAGGAUAGGGCUUUCUGAUGAUUUUGCCAGUGGUCAUCCAAGCGCUUGGCAUCCAGCUCAUUUUGUUUCUCCUCUCGCCUCUGCAGCAGCUUCUUAAAGGCUUCCAGUCGAAUCUCUUGCAACCUUUAAGGAAAAGAAAAGCCAGGCUGGAAAGGAGGAUAUUUUCUGAGAAUGAGCACUUACUGUGUCAUCCCCCAGUAUGCAUUGCUACUGUAGAUGAAACACUGGGAGAUGAGGACUCUAUUCUUCCACAGAAGCAUUCUUAUUUUCUUACUGAUGUCUAGCUCAGAACAGCUGAAGAACAGAGGGCCAUUAUCACUUUAUUGUGCCAUAAGGGAAGACUGCAAAGGGCUACCAUUCCAAAGGUACAAGUAGACUUGAAACCUGACAUUGAAUAAAGGAGAAUCUGCUGCUAAAGGAGGGAUAUAACUAUUACAAUUUAUCUUGAUUCUGCAACUCACCCCAAGUGAGAGUAGCAAGUGUCAGAAGCUCGGGGACUGAGCCACUGGGAACUACAUAUUCAGGGGAAUAUGGAUCUGUCUG